CGCGCAGGCGGCGCUCCAAGCCCGACGUGAAAGCCCCCGGCUCAACCGGGGAGGGUCGUCGGGGACUGGGGCGCUUGAGGGCGGUAGGGGCCGGUGGAAUUCCCGGUGUAGUGGUGAAAUGCGUAGAGAUCGGGAGGAACACCAGUAGCGAAGGCGGCCGGCUGGGCCGACCCUGACGCUGAGGCGCGAAGGCGUGGGGAGCGAACG
rnacentral:rRNA from 1 species